UGGGGAAUUUUGGACAAUGGGCGCAAGCCUGAUCCAGCAAUGCCGCGUGCAGGAUGAAGGCCUUCGGGUUGUAAACUGCUUUUGUACGGAACGAAACGGUUCACUCCAAUACAGUGAGCUAAUGACGGUACCGUAAGAAUAAGCACCGGCUAACUACGUGCCAGCAGCCGCGGUAAUACGUAGGGUGCGAGCGUUAAUCGGAAUUACUGGGCGUAAAGCGUGCGCAGGCGGUUAUAUAAGACAGAUGUGAAAUCCCCGGGCUCAACCUGGGACCUGCAUUUGUGACUGUAUAGCUAGAGUGCGGCAGAGGGGGAUGGAAUUCCGCGUGUAGCAGUGAAAUGCGUAGAUAUGCGGAGGAACACCGAUGGCGAAGGCAAUCCCCUGGGCCUGCACUGACGCUCAUGCACGAAAGCGUGGGGAGCAAACAGG
rnacentral:rRNA from 1 species